AAUUUUGCUGAUACCUUGUUUUAUAGGCUCAAAGAGGGCUUGUUACAAGGCAGAAUACAAAAGUUGGAUGAAACUUUUCACCAAAGGACAAGAGAGCAAGCUUAAUGCUGUUUUAUGUUAUUAUGUAG